UACGGAGGGUGCAAGCGUUAAUCGGAAUUACUGGGCGUAAAGGGCGCGUAGGCGGAUUUGUAAGUCGGUUGUGAAAUCCCCGGGCUUAACCUGGGAGCUGCAAUCGAUACUGCAGAUCUUGAAUACUUGAGAGGAUGGCGGAAUUCCAGGUGUAGAGGUGAAAUUCGUAGAUAUCUGGAAGAACACCGGAGGCGAAGGCGGCUGUCUGGCAAGUUAUUGACGCUGAGGCGCGAAAGCGUGGGGAUCAAACAGG
rnacentral:rRNA from 1 species